UACGAAGGGGGCUAGCGUUGCUCGGAAUCACUGGGCGUAAAGCGCACGUAGGCGGACUCUUAAGUCGGUGGUGAAAUCCUGGAGCUCAACUCCAGAACUGCCUUCGAUACUGAGAGUCUCGAGUCCGGGAGAGGUGAGUGGAACUGCGAGUGUAGAGGUGAAAUUCGUAGAUAUUCGCAAGAACACCAGUGGCGAAGGCGGCUCACUGGCCCGGUACUGACGCUGAGGUGCGAAAGCGUGGGGAGCAGACAGG
rnacentral:rRNA from 1 species